rnacentral:ncRNA from 1 species
GGGGAAUGAAGUUCUCCCCAGGGAAACCAAAACCGCUGAUUUAAGCUGAUGACUUCUACGAUU